AGAGCGAACGCUGGCGGCAGGCUUAACACAUGCAAGUCGAGCGGGCGUAGCAAUACGUCAGCGGCAGACGGGUGAGUAACGCGUGGGAACGUACCUUUUGGUUCGGAACAACCCAGGGAAACUUGGGCUAAUACCGGAUAAGCCCUUACGGGGAAAGAUUUAUCGCCGAAAGAUCGGCCCGCGUCUGAUUAGCUAGUUGGUGAGGUAAUGGCUCACCAAGGCGACGAUCAGUAGCUGGUCUGAGAGGAUGAUCAGCCACAUUGGGACUGAGACACGGCCCAAAACUCCUACGGGAGGCAGCAGUGGGGAAUAUGGACAAUGGCGGCAAGCCUGAUCCAGCCAUGCCGCGUGAGUGAUGAAGGCCCUAGGGUUGUAAAAGCUCUUUUGUAGCGGGAAGAUAAUGACGGUACCGCAAGAAUAAGCCCCGGCUAACUUCGCGUCAGCAGCCGC
rnacentral:rRNA from 1 species